rnacentral:rRNA from 1 species
UACGUAGGGUGCAAGCGUUGUCCGGAUUUAUUGGGCGUAAAGAGCUCGUAGGCGGUUAAGAAAGUCGGGUGUGAAACCUCCAGGCUCAACCUGGAGACGCCACUCGAUACUGCCAUGACUCGAGUCCGGUAGGGGAGUGCGGAAUUCCUGGUGUAGCGGUGAAAUGCGCAGAUAUCAGGAGGAACACCGGUGGCGAAGGCGGCACUCUGGGCCGGUACUGACGCUGAGGAGCGAAAGCGUGGGGAGCGAACAGG